rnacentral:lncRNA from 1 species
AGCAUGUGCCGGUUGUUAUUAAGUACAAUGUUAUUAGGUACGGUACCAAAAAGUGUUAAAGCAAAGUUAAAGUAUCGCCGCGUUCAAAUGAAAGCAUGUAAAAUCGUUUAAAUCUAUUUUGAUCAUCAGUUUACAACCACGAAAACAUUUAAGUUUACAUUUACUCUUAUGUAUUUACAUAUGUAUGUAUGUCAGAUACACAUUAAUAUUAGCACUGUAUAAAUACAUACAGAUAUAUUCUUUAUGUGUGGGUAUAUCUGAGUCUGUAUCUGUGUCUGUGUCGGCAUGUUGCGAGCUAAAUAGAUUUACAUGCUACGUAGUACGUAUUGUACAAAUUACGUUCAACAAGAGGUUACAGCAUCUCAGCUAAAUGCCAUAAAGUAACAGUUUGUGUGUUCUUUAUAAAAGUGUAUCAUUGCAUAUUUAUUACAGUUAAAACUUACAUAGUAGAUUUGUGUAGUUUUUGUAUAUAUGGUACUUAAUAAUAGCAGGGCCGAUCUGCCCGACCGAGACCGAGAGCCGCACAAAUCGAGGAUAAGGACUCCCAGUCCGGGCGAGAAUCUCGAUAAUACUGAGCGGUAAAGUUUGUCUCGCAAUGCGUCACAUAUGCAAUAUACAUAUAGUAGGUAUAGAUCAUGAUCGAUACUUUGUUUGGCACAAGAAUGAACAGGCUGAAGAAUUCAUCCAAUGCUGAGAUCUCACAUUUUCGUAUUCUUUUAUUACUCGUCAGUCUAAAUACUCUGAGAUGUCGCAUGUGAAGCGUAGAUAUAGUGAAAGUUGUGCCUAACAGAAGAUCCCCUAAUUACUACUUUACCAUGUGUAUACUCGUAGAUCACAUCAUUAUGCACUUGCACUUUCCGAUGUUGCUUAAAAUGUCCACUUACUGACUAAACAGGAAUGCAAACUUGCACAGAUACAUACACGUGUACCAACUAUGUAGUACAUAUACGCACAGGUGUG